rnacentral:rRNA from 1 species
UACGAAGGGGGCUAGCGUUGCUCGGAAUCACUGGGCGUAAAGGGUGCGUAGGCGGGUCUUUAAGUCAGGGGUGAAAUCCUGGAGCUCAACUCCAGAACUGCCUUUGAUACUGAGGAUCUUGAGUUCGGGAGAGGUGAGUGGAACUGCGAGUGUAGAGGUGAAAUUCGUAGAUAUUCGCAAGAACACCAGUGGCGAAGGCGGCCCUCGACCGU